AAUAGAUACCCGGGUAGUCCACGCCGUAAACGGUGGGUGCUAGGUGUGGGAGACUAUCUACGUUUUCCGCGCCGCAGCUAACGCAUUAAGCACCCCGCCUGGGGAGUACGGCCGCAAGGCUAAAACUCAAAGGAAUUGACGGGGGCCCGCACAAGCGGCGGAGCAUGCGGCUUAAUUCGAUGCAACGCGAAGAACCUUACCUAGGCUUGACAUAUACGGGAAGCAGGCAGAGAUGUCUGUGCCUUCGGGCUCGUAUACAGGUGGUGCAUGGCUGUCGUCAGCUCGUGUCGUGAAUGUUGGGUUAAGUCCCGCAACGAGCGCAACCCUCGUCCUAUGUUGCCAGCGGGUAAUGGCCGGGGACUCAUAGGAGACUGGCCGGGGUCAACUCGGAGGAAGGUGGGGACGACGUCAAGUCAUCAUGCCCCUUACGGUCUAGGGCUGCACGCAUGCUACAAUGGCCGGUACAAAGGGCUGCAAUACCGCAAGGUUGAGCGAAUCCCAAAAAGCCGGUCUCAGUUCGGAUUGGGGUCUGCAACUCGACCCC
rnacentral:rRNA from 1 species